UACGUAGGGUGCGAGCGUUGCCCGGAUUUAUUGGGCGUAAAGGGCGCGUAGGCGGCUCGGCACGUCCGUUGUGAAAUCGCCCGGCUCAACUGGGCGGGGUCAGCGGAUACGGUCGAGCUUGAGCAAGCUAGGGGGCAAUGGAAUUCCCGGUGUAGUGGUGGAAUGCGUAGAUAUCCGGAGGAACACCAGAGGCGAAAGCGGCUUCCUGGGGUGGCGUUGACGCUCAGACACGAAAGCAUGGGGAGCGAACGGG
rnacentral:rRNA from 1 species